rnacentral:rRNA from 1 species
AACGUAGGACGCAAGCGUUAUCCGGAGUUACUGGGCGUAAAGCGCGUGCAGGCGGUCGGUCAAGUCUGAUGUGAAAUCUCUCCGCUCAACGGGGAGCAGCCAUUGGAAACUGGGCGACUGGAGUCUGACAGAGGUAGGCGGAAUUCCGGGUGGAGUGGUGAAAUGCGUAGAGAUCCGGAGGAACACCAGAGGCGAAGGCGGCCUACUGGGUCAGUACUGACGCUGAGCCGCGAAAGCCAGGGGAGCGAACGGG